rnacentral:rRNA from 1 species
AGAUUAAGUUAUUAAGGGCGCACGGUGGAUGCCUUGGCACUAGAAGCCGACGAAGGACGUUACUAACGACGAUAUGCUUUGGGGAGCUGUAAGUAAGCUUUGAUCCAGAGAUUUCCGAAUGGGGAAACCCAGCACGAGUUAUGUCGUGUUAUCGAUAUGUGAAUACAUAGCAUAUCUGAAGGCAGACGCGGAGAACUGAAACAUCUUAGUACCCGCAGGAAGAGAAAGAAAAAUCGAUUCCCUGAGUAGCGGCGAGCGAAACGGGAAGAGCCCAAACCAACGAGCUUGCUUGUUGGGGUUGUAGGACACUCUAUACGGAGUUACAAAAGAACAGACUAGACGAAUCAUCUGGAAAGAUGAAUCAAAGAAGGUAAUAAUCCUGUAGUCGAAAGUUUGUUCACUCUUGAGUGUAUCCUGAGUACGACGGAACACGAGAAAUUCCGUCGGAAUCUGGGAGGACCAUCUCCCAAGGCUAAAUACUCUCUAGUGACCGAUAGUGAACCAGUACCGUGAGGGAAAGGUGAAAAGUACCCCGGAAGGGGAGUGAAAUAGAACUUGAAACCGUGUGCUUACAAGUAGUCAGAGCCCGUUAAUGGGUGAUGGCGUGCCUUUUGUAGAAUGAACCGGCGAGUUACGAUUUGAUGCAAGGUUAAGCAGUGAAUGUGGAGCCGUAGCGAAAGCGAGUCUGAAUAGGGCGUUGAGUAUUUGGUCGUAGACCCGAAACCAGGUGAUCUACCCAUGACCAGGUUGAAGUUCAGGUAACACUGAAUGGAGGACCGAACCGACUUACGUUGAAAAGUGAGCGGAUGAGUUGUGGGUAGCGGAGAAAUUCCAAUCGAACCUGGAGAUAGCUGGUUCUCUCCGAAAUAGCUUUAGGGCUAGCCUCAAGUGAUGAUUAUUGGAGGUAGAGCACUGUUUGGACGAGGGGCCCUUAUCGGGUUACCGAAUUCAGACAAACUCCGAAUGCCAAUCAAUUUAACUUGGGAGUCAGAACGCGGGUGAUAAGGUCCGUGUUCGAAAGGGAAACAGCCCAGACCACCAGCUAAGGUCCCAAAAUAUAUGUUAAGUGGAAAAGGAUGUGGCGUUGCCCAGACAACUAGGAUGUUGGCUUAGAAGCAGCCAUCAUUUAAAGAGUGCGUAAUAGCUCACUAGUCGAGUGACACUGCGCCGAAAAUGUACCGGGGCUAAACAUAUUACCGAAGCUGUGGAUUGUCCGUAAGGACAAUGGUAGGAGAGCGUUCUAAGGGCGUUGAAGCAUGAUCGCAAGGACAUGUGGAGCGCUUAGAAGUGAGAAUGCCGGUGUGAGUAGCGAAAGACGGGUGAGAAUCCCGUCCACCGAUUGACUAAGGUUUCCAGAGGAAGGCUCGUCCGCUCUGGGUUAGUCGGGUCCUAAGCUGAGGCCGAUAGGCGUAGGCGAUGGAUAACAGGUUGAUAUUCCUGUACCACCAUUAUUCGUUUUAAGCGAUGGGGGGACGCAGUAGGAUAGGCGAAGCGUACGAUUGGAUUGUACGUCCAAGCAGUGAGAUUGAGUGUUAGGCAAAUCCGGCACUCUUAAGAUUGAGCUGUGAUGGGGAGAGGAAAUUGUUUCCUCGAGUCGUUGAUUUCACACUGCCAAGAAAAGCCUCUAGCUAGAAUUGUGGUGCCCGUACCGCAAACCGACACAGGUAGUCAAGAUGAGAAUUCUAAGGUGAGCGAGCGAACUCUCGUUAAGGAACUCGGCAAAAUGACCCCGUAACUUCGGGAGAAGGGGUGCUCUUUAGGGUUAACGCCCAGGAGAGCCGCAGUGAAUAGGCCCAAGCGACUGUUUAUCAAAAACACAGGUCUCUGCUAAACCGUAAGGUGAUGUAUAGGGGCUGACGCCUGCCCGGUGCUGGAAGGUUAAGAGGAGUGGUUAGCUUCUGCGAAGCUACGAAUCGAAGCCCCAGUAAACGGCGGCCGUAACUAUAACGGUCCUAAGGUAGCGAAAUUCCUUGUCGGGUAAGUUCCGACCCGCACGAAAGGCGUAACGAUUUGGGCACUGUCUCAACGAGAGACUCGGUGAAAUCAUAGUACCUGUGAAGAUGCAGGUUACCCGCGACAGGACGGAAAGACCCCGUGGAGCUUUACUGUAGUCUGAUAUUGAAAUUCGGCACAGCUUGUACAGGAUAGGUAGGAGCCUGAGAUACGUGAGCGCUAGCUUACGUGGAGGCGUUGGUGGGAUACUACCCUCGCUGUGUUGGAUUUCUAACCCGCACCAUUUAUCAUGGUGGGAGACAGUGUCAGAUGGGCAGUUUGACUGGGGCGGUCGCCUCCUAAAGAGUAACGGAGGCGCUCAAAGGUUUCCUCAGAAUGGUUGGAAAUCAUUCAUAGAGUGUAAAGGCAUAAGGAAGCUUGACUGCGAGACUUACAAGUCGAGCAGGGUCGAAAGACGGACUUAGUGAUCCGGUGGUUCCGCAUGGAAGGGCCAUCGCUCAACGGAUAAAAGCUACCCCGGGGAUAACAGGCUUAUCUCCCCCAAGAGUUCACAUCGACGGGGAGGUUUGGCACCUCGAUGUCGGCUCAUCGCAUCCUGGGGCUGUAGUCGGUCCCAAGGGUUGGGCUGUUCGCCCAUUAAAGCGGUACGCGAGCUGGGUUCAGAACGUCGUGAGACAGUUCGGUCCCUAUCCGUCGUGGGCGUAGGAAAUUUGAGAGGAGCUGUCCUUAGUACGAGAGGACCGGGAUGGACAUACCUCUGGUGUACCAGUUGUCGUGCCAACGGCAUCGCUGGGUAGCUAUGUAUGGACGGGAUAAGUGCUGAAAGCAUCUAAGCAUGAAGCCCCCCUCAAGAUGAGAUUUCCCAACUUCGGUUAUAAGAUCCCUCAAAGAUGAUGAGGUUAAUAGGUUCGAGGUGGAAGCAUAGCGAUAUGUGCAGCUGACGAAUACUAAUCGAUCGAAGACUUAAUCAAAUUUUA